rnacentral:rRNA from 1 species
AUUGAACGCUGGCGGCAGGCCUAACACAUGCAAGUCGAGCGAGCGGCGGACGGGUGAGUAAUGUAUGGGGAUGUGCCCGAGAGAGGGGGAUAACUACUGGAAACGGUGGCUAAUACCGCAUACUAUAGGAUGAACCCAUAUGGGAUUAGCUAGUUGGUGGGGUAAAGGCUCACCAAGGCGACGAUCUCUAGCUGGUCUGAGAGGAUGAUCAGCCACACUGGGACUGAGACACGGCCCAGACUCCUACGGGAGGCAGCAGUGGGGAAUAUUGGACAAUGGGCGAAAGCCUGAUGCAGCCAUGCCGCGUGUAUGAAGAAGGUCUUAGGGUUGUAAAGUACUUUCAGCGGGGAGGCGUUACCUGCAGAAGAAGCACCGGCUAACUCCGUGCCAGCAGCCGCGGUAAUAC